CCUGUGUAUCCAAAGCUUGGCCCCAGUCCUCUCUUGGCUUUUGAUCCAUGACAAAAAGCUUUUCAGAUUUACAGUGGCUCCCACAGCUCCAGACCCAGAGAAUCAUAAUUCUCCUAUAGAAAUUCCACCUCUCUUUCUCUUUUCCAGAGUUGGAUAAUGGUUUUCCAGGCCACUCUCAGCAGAGUCAACCAAUGCAAUGGCCAUUGGAUUCUUUCCAGACUUGAACCAGCAACCUGUCCAAGCAGAUUGAACCUGAGCUGCAUCAAAUCCAGCAGAUGUUUCCAUGUCUGGGACACUGUAAACCUUAUAGACCUUCUUCCUUCACCUCCUCCCAGGAGCAUUAAAUGCUAAUGCAGCAGAAAUUUGGAUGCAUGCCGAAUGAGAACCAGAAGGGUUGGUGAGAAAGUAGGAUAUAUUUUUGUCUAUAAAUAGUGGUCAUCAGUGGUUUGAAUUUAAUAUUAGGCCAUUAUUAAUGGCUGAGUUUUAUGUAUUUGCUACUUCAUUUAACCAA
rnacentral:lncRNA from 1 species